CUUAAGUAUUCUUGAUUCUUUCUCCGGACGAAUAUCCUUAUCUCAGACUUUUGUACGUUCUCUACUUUCACUCUCACCAGGUCGCGUGUUCGAAACUUCUCAAACUCCCCUCGGGACGCAAAAUCCUCUACAAAGGUUGCCUGUUCGAAACUCCCGCCAAUCUAAUUCCCACCCCAGAGAGAGAGAGAGAGAGAGAGAGAGAGAGAGAGAUUCAUGAGCAACGUCAUCAGAAACAGCACCGUAAACCCUAACCCUAUCGUGGCGCAGAAAAUGCUGGCGGCAGUAGACAUGGGAACAAAUUCGUUCCACAUGAUUGUAGUCAAAGUGCACCCCAACGGCAGGUUCUGCAAAGUGGAUUCAUACAAAGAAUACGUGAGACUGGGGAGCGGAACUCUAAGUAGCAGCGGCAUAAUUGGAGCAGAGGAGGAGCACCGAGCUCUGGAAGCCAUGAAGCGCUUCAGGACUUUAGCGGAAUCGCACAAAUCGGAUAUGAGGAUCGUGGCGACGUCGGCCGUGAGAGAGGCCAAAAAUAGGGUCAAAUUUGUCAGGCGCGUUUCUGAGGUAGCGGGCGCGGAUGUUGAGGUGCUCUCGGGAAAGGAAGAGGCUCGUCUGAUUUAUCUCGGAAUUCUUCAGUCUCUUCCAGUCUUCAAUAAGGCUGUUUUAACUGUGGACAUAGGAGGAGGAUCUACUGAAUUUGUUCUUGGAUUAUGUGGAGAAGUAAUUCAUGCAACUUCCUUAAAGCUUGGUCAUAUUCGCUUAACAGAGUCUUUUCUGCGAAAUAAGGAUGGAAAGCUGCAGGAGAGUCAUAUAGAACAAUUGCGAAGACACAUCCGGUCUACAUUUGCAGAUUCUAAUCUGGUAGAAAAGGUUCGAGAGAUUGGAUUUGAGAUGGCUAUAGGCACCUCUGGUACCAUUGAAUCCAUACAGAAGGUAAUACAUCAAGGGCAUGCUGUUGAAUUGGGAGAUGGAUAUGAAGGAGAUGGAUAUGAGUCAAUGCCUGUUUUUUACCAAGCUUUCAGGGGUUGUGAAUUUACCAGUGUUGAGCUCAGUGUGAUUGUAACAAAGCUGUGCCAAUCAAAGAAUAAAGAAGAGUGUCUCAAGCUUUUUGGGUUUGCUGAAAAUCGCUUAGAUUCAAUAGUUGCUGGAGCAAUUUUGUUGCAGGAAAUAUUUGAAAUUUUUGGUAUUGAUAGGAUGACAGUUUCAUCUUAUGCACUACGGGAGGGGGUGAUUGCAGACACUUUAGAGAAAUCAUUUAAUGAGUAUGUUUGUGCCCCUAACAUCAGGUGGAGUUCAGUCACCAGUCUUGCACGGAGAUUUAACAACAAGAAAAAGAUGAAAUCUGACAUGCAUUCUGUUCAAUUAGCAAAGGAGCUUCUGGAAGGCUUACAAAGAUGCAAGAAAGAUGGUCAAGACUGCUUUAGUUUGGCAGGGUUAUCAAUAAAUGAGAAUGAUAUUGAAUUGAUGGAAUCUGCAAUUCUUUUGCAUGGCAUUGGCAUGCAUAUCAAUCAUAAAGGCUAUCAUAAGCAUUCAUAUUAUCUUAUCAAGAACAAUGCACACCUUCAUGGCUACAGUACUGUGGAGAUAGAGAUUAUUGCUUUGCUUGCAAGAUAUCACAGGAAGAAGUUUCCAAGUCACAAGCAUGAUUCCUUUGCAAAGCUUCCACACGAGGCACAAAAGAAAGUUAAAGCACUUUCAGCGAUCAUUCGCAUUGCGGUUGCAUUAGAGCGUAGUAACUUCAGUGCUGUUCAGCAGGUUGAUGUCAUGUAUGACAAUGGAGCAUACACAAUUGUUGUCACGCCAUCAUUAAUGGAUCCACUGACUGGAGUUCAACGAGAUGUAUCCCUUGAGGUGUGGGCAGCACAAUCUGAAUUUAAGUAUUUUGAAGAGGUGUUCGGAAGGAAAAUCUUAAUUGCAGUAGCAGGGAAUUUAAAGCCAUAGAGAUUGAAGAAGGCCGAUGUGACUCACAAAAUAUUUCAACUUGUGAGUUAAUUUGACACACAAAAUAGCCAGAUGUGUGGCUAAGAUAUUAUCUGGUUUACUGUUUGAGAAAAUUACAAUUUUCUGAUAUGGAAUUACGUGAGGUGAAAGAACUGUUAGGAAGAUUUGACUAUAGGGUUAGUUUAAGAAAGCACUAUACAAGCUUUAGAUGUGGAUAGAUGAAUUCCCGAAUAGUAACUUAAGAAAUGGUGACUAGACUAGUUCUGGAAAAGCUCUGUCAAGCAACAUCCUUCUUCCUUUGACACGGGGAUUGGUACAUUUGACAGAUCUGAUAAUAAUCUAGAUCUCUGAAGAUAGAAGUGCAGGAAUCGGGCCACUGGAGGAUUUACCACAGGUUAUUGAUCAGACGUUUGCUUCAAUAUACAGUUUAAAUGUCUAUAUGGUUCUGAAGAUAAUGUGUCAAGAAAUAUGGUAGGCACUUUGAGGGCUGUGUAUGUGGAUGGUCAUAGAGUUUUUGAAGGUAUUAAGAAAAUCAUAUCUGAUGGUUGGAUGAUAACUGGAAGGCAAGGUUUCGAGAAUAUUUGUUAAGUGUUCAGUAUGCAACUUAGACAAGAGUAUAUCUCUUAUGUUUUUGUUGCUUGAUUGGUGAUACACUGUGUGAUACUGGAUUAUUUUCAUGCAGUUGUAAAAAUAGAAGAGUGGCCAGAAAUAUGAUGAAGAGUGUGUGGAUGAGAGAGGAACCAAGGGCCACACAGAUAAAUAAAAGGAGAGAUGGAUGGGACUGUAAAACACAAUGAUACUAAGGGCAAAUUGCAGAAUGGUGGACCUGAAAUAGUGAACAAUUCAAAAAGCUAGUGGGCAGAGGUGGAUCAUCAGUAGACAUUGAAUAGAAAAUUUGUAAGACAACACUAGCAAUGGAAUUGAAUAUAUUUCCAAAUUAAUUGGAUGUUAAUAGGGAGAAACUUUUUAAGGGCAUUCUACCCCAUGGGAUACUGAACCUCUUAAAUGCUAUUUCAAGACAUCCUAUUAAUUAUCGAACGUGAAAUGCUAUUAAAAUGUAUAUCCUAUCAUAUUUUAGUAUAUUGUUGCUUCUUUAA